AUACAUGCAAGUCGAGCGGAUUGAUGGGAGCUUGCUCCCAUCAGUCAGCGGCGGACGGGUGAGUAACACGUGGGUAACCUGCCUGUAAGACUGGGAUAACUCCGGGAAACCGGGGCUAAUACCGGAUAACUCAUUUCCUCGCAUGAGGAAAUGUUGAAAGGUGGCUUCUGGCUACCACUUACAGAUGGACCCGCGGCGCAUUAGCUAGUUGGUGAGGUAACGGCUCACCAAGGCAACGAUGCGUAGCCGACCUGAGAGGGUGAUCGGCCACACUGGGACUGAGACACGGCCCAGACUCCUACGGGAGGCAGCAGUAGGGAAUCUUCCGCAAUGGACGAAAGUCUGACGGAGCAACGCCGCGUGAGUGAUGAAGGUUUUCGGAUCGUAAAGCUCUGUUGUUAGGGAAGAACAAGUGCCGUUCGAAUAGGGCGGCACCUUGACGGUACCUAACCAGAAAGCCACGGCUAACUACGUGCCAGCAGCCGCGGAAUACGUAGGUGGCAAGCGUUGUCCGGAAUUAUUGGGCGUAAAGCGCGCGCAGGUGUUCCUUAAGUCUGAUGUGAAAGCCACGGCUCAACCGUGGAGGGUCAUUGGAAACUGGGGAACUUGAGUGCAAAAAAGGAAAGUGGAAUUCCAAGUGUAGCGGUGAAAUGCGUAGAUAUUU
rnacentral:rRNA from 1 species